GAUACGACCGUACCGCAAACCGACACUGGUGCGCGAGAUGAGUAUUCUAAGGCGCUUGAGAGAACUCAGGAGAAGGAACUCGGCAAAUUGACACCGUAACUUCGGAAGAAGGUGUGCCCUAUUAGUGUGUAGUGAACAACGAAGCAUGAAUGGGUUGCAAAAAAUCGGUGGCUGCGACUGUUUAUUAAAAACACAGCACUCUGCAAACACGGAAGUGGACGUAUAGGGUGUGGCGCCUGCCCGGUGCUGGAAGAUUAAAUGAUGGGGUGCAAGCUCUUGAUUGAAGUCCCAGUAAACGGCGGCCGUAACAAUAACGGUCCUAAGGUAGCGAAAUUCCUUGUCGGGUAAGUUCCGACCUGCACGAAUGGCGUAACGAUGGCCACACUGUCUCCUCCUGAGACUCAGCGAAGUUGAAAUGUUUGUGAUGAUGCAAUCUCCCCGCGGAAAGACGGAAAGACCCCAUGAACCUUUACUGUAGCUUUGUAUUGGACUUUGAACAGAUCUGUGUAGGAUAGGUGGGAGGCUUUGAAGCAGGGUCGCUAGAUCUUGUGGAGCCAACGUUGAAAUACCACCCUGGUGUGUUUGAGGUUCUAACCUAGGUCCAUUAUCUGGAUCGGGGACAGUGCAUGGUAGGCAGUUUGACUGGGGCGGUCUCCUCCCAAAGCGUAACGGAGGAGUUCGAAGGUACGCUAGUUACGGUCGGACAUCGUGACGAUAGUGCAAUGGCAUAAGCGUGCUUAACUGCGAGACUGACAAGUCGAGCAGAUGCGAAAGCAGGACAUAGUGAUCCGGUGGUUCUGUAUGGAAGGGCCAUCGCUCAACGGAUAAAAGGUACUCUGGGGAUAACAGGCUGAUACCGCCCAAGAGUUCAUAUCGACGGCGGUGUUUGGCACCUCGAUGUCGGCUCAUCUCAUCCUGGGGCUGUAGCCGGUCCCAAGGGUAUGGCUGUUCGCCAUUUAAAGAGGUACGUGAGCUGGGUUUAAAACGUCGUGAGACAGUUUGGUCCCUAUCUUCCGUGGGCGCUGCAGAUUUGAGGAAGCCUGCUCCUAGUACGAGAGGACCGGAGUGGACACACCUCUGGUGUAUCGGUUGUCACGCCAGUGGCAUGCCGAGUAGCUAAGUGUGGAAGAGAUAACCGCUGAAAGCAUCUAAGCGGGAAACUCGUUUCAAGAUGAGAUCUGCCGGGGCCUUGAGCCCCCUAAAGAGUCGUUCAAGACCAGGACGUUGAUAGGUCAGGUGUGGAAGC
rnacentral:rRNA from 1 species